rnacentral:rRNA from 1 species
GUAGGUGGCAGGCGUUGUCCGGAAUUAUUGGGCGUAAAGCGCGCGCAGGCGGUUCUUUAAGUCUGAUGUGAAAGCCCACCGGCUCAACCGGUGGAGGGUCAUUGGAAACUGGAGAACUUGAGUACAGAAGAGGAAAGCGGAAUUCCACGUGUAGCGGUGAAAUGCGUAGAGAUGUGGAGGAACACCAGUGGCGAAGGCGGCUUUCUGGUCUGUAACUGACGCUGAGGCGCGAAAGCGUGGGGAGCAAACAGGGAUUAGAUACCCUGGUAGUCCACGCCGUAAACGAUGAGUGCUAAGUGUUAGGGGGGUUUCCCGCCCCCUUAGUGCUGCAGCUAACGCAUUAAGCACUCCGCCUGGGGAGUACGGCCGCAAGGCUG